AAAGAUUAAGCCAUGCAUGUCUAAGUAUAAGCAAUUAUACCGUGAAACUGCGAAUGGCUCAUUAAAUCAGUUAUCGUUUAUUUGAUAGUACCUUACUACUUGGAUAACCGUGGUAAUUCUAGAGCUAAUACAUGCUGAAAACCCCAACUUCGGAAGGGGUGUAUUUAUUAGAUAAAAAACCAACGCCCUUCGGGGCUUCUUGGUGAUUCAUGAUAACUUUACGGAUCGCAUGGCCUUGCGCCGGCGACGGUUCAUUCAAAUUUCUGCCCUAUCAACUUUCGAUGGUAAGGUAUUGGCUUACCAAGGUUUCAACGGGUAACGGGGAAU
rnacentral:rRNA from 1 species